rnacentral:ribozyme from 13 species
UAUCAAUGUAAGAAGUGUAAGAUGGAUGUCCAUAAGCAAUGCAGAAAGACAUGCCCCAAGAGUUGUGAUUAUUAACUUUUUCCCUUUUUUUUUUUUUUUUUUUUUUUUCCAUGAAAAUUAUCUUUUACUCUUUUGAUCAAAGACAUUGCAAAAGCCAACAAGGAGGAUUUUGAUACGGUGUUGCAGGGGGAGGAUUUUGAGGAUUG